GCGAGAGGUCACACCGUCCUCGGCCAGCAGGCCGCGCAUGGGGCCGCACCGGACUCCAAAUCUAAGUCAGCGCGGGCCCUCGGAUCCUUGCUGAGGCCACUGCGAGUGUCCCCCGGGGAACACCCCGGAAACCCCGGGCGGGAACCGGCAGCGACCUCGUCCAGGGCAGCAGGUGCCCUGGAAACAUGGGGACGGGCACACACAGCCGGCCGCCGGAAUGGUCUGCAGACAAGGGGAUUCGAGUCUCUCCCCUCUCUCUCUCUCUCUCUCUCUUUCGUUUUUAAAUCCUCACCCGAGGGUAUGCUGAUUGAUUUCCGAGAGCCAUGAAAGGGAGAAAAAGAGAAAAAUACGCUUGUCAAACAGGA